rfam:Kingella kingae ATCC 23330 genomic scaffold SCAFFOLD6, whole genome shotgun sequence.
AUUUCCCUGCGGUGCUCGUAACGGCACAUAUUUUUCUUGAACCAAUAAGCGUUUGCUCGGUUGUCGGGAGAUGUGGUAGGCGCGAGUGUUCUCUCUGUUAGAACGCACCCGAAGCCACCCGAGAUGACCACCUUGUAUCAAGGUUCAAGCAGACUUCGCCCGAGCGACAUCUGCGGGGUUCUC